rnacentral:rRNA from 1 species
AUUGAACGCUGGCGGCAGGCCUAACACAUGCAAGUCGAGCGGUAGAGAGAAGCUUGCUUCUCUUGAGAGCGGCGGACGGGUGAGUAAUGCCUAGGAAUCUGCCUGGUAGUGGGGGAUAACGUUCGGAAACGGACGCUAAUACCGCAUACGUCCUACGGGAGAAAGCAGGGGACCUUCGGGCCUUGCGCUAUCAGAUGAGCCUAGGUCGGAUUAGCUAGUUGGUGAGGUAAUGGCUCACCAAGGCGACGAUCCGUAACUGGUCUGAGAGGAUGAUCAGUCACCCUUGAACUGUGACGCGGUCCUGCCUCCUACGGUAGCCAGCAGUGGCGAAUAUUUGACGAUGGUCCAAAGCUUGUUCCAACCAUGCCGCGUGUGUGAAGAAGUUCUUCGGAUUAUAAAGCACUUUAAGUUGGGAGGAAGGGUUGUAGAUUAAUACUCUGCAUUUUUGACGUUACCGACAUAAUAAGCACCGGCUAACUCUGUG